rnacentral:rRNA from 1 species
AACGCUAGCUACAGGCUUAACACAUGCAAGUCGCGGGGUAACAUCUGGGAGAGCUUGCUCUUCCAGGAUGACGACCGGCGCACGGGUGAGUAACGCGUAUCCAACCUGGCCCAUACCACGGGAUAGCCCGUCGAAAGGCGGAUUAAUACCGUAUGCUGUCAUCAAGAUGCAUAUAUUGAUGACGAAAGGACUGGCGGUAUGGGAUGGGGAUGCGUCUGAUUAGCUUGUUGGCGGGGUAACGGCCCACCAAGGCGAUGAUCAGUAGGGGUUCUGAGAGGAAGGUCCCCCACAUUGGAACUGAGACACGGUCCAAACUCCUACGGGAGGCAGCAGUGAGGAAUAUUGGUCAAUGGGCGCAAGCCUGAACCAGCCAAGUAGCGUGAGGGAAGACUGCCCUACGGGUUGUAAACCUCUUUUGUUUGGGAAUAAAGUGCGGGACGUGUCCCGCAUUGCAUGUACCAUUUGAAUAAGGACCGGCUAAUUCCGUGCCAGCAGCCGCGGUAAUACGGAAGGUCCGGGCGUUAUCCGGAUUUAUUGGGUUUAAAGGGAGCGUAGGCCGGAGAUUAAGCGUGUUGUGAAAUGUAGAUGCUCAACAUCUGCACUGCAGCGCGAACUGGUUUCCUUGAGUACGCACAAAGUGGGCGGAAUUCGUGGUGUAGCGGUGAAAUGCUUAGAUAUCACGAAGAACUCCGAUUG